AUGUUUUUGGAGCAUCUAGAAAGUAGAAACUUGUGCUUGUCUAAUAGGGUAUUUUGUUUGUUGGAGAUUGUCCUUGCCUUAACUUUGAAGGCUUUGGUAAUUUUUAAAUUCACUGUUAAACGUUCUUUUGUUAUCUUACUUUUUUGUAAAAUAAUUAUCUUAUUUACAUUGAAGUUAAACUUGUUCAGCCGAGCAUAUUCAAUGUUUUGA